AUUGAGCGCUGGCGGCAGGCCUAACACAUGCAAGUCGAGCGGAUGAAGGGAGCUUGCUCCUGGAUUCAGCGGCGGACGGGUGAGUAAUGCCUAGGAAUCUGCCUGGUAGUGGGGGAUAACGUCCGGAAACGGGCGCUAAUACCGCAUACGUCCUGAGGGAGAAAGUGGGGGAUCUUCGGACCUCACGCUAUCAGAUGAGCCUAGGUCGGAUUAGCUAGUUGGUGGGGUAAAGGCCUACCAAGGCGACGAUCCGUAACUGGUCUGAGAGGAUGAUCAGUCACACUGGAAGUUAGACACGGUCCAGACUCCUACGGGAGGCAGCAGUGGGGAAUAUUGGACAAUGGGCGAAAGCCUGAUCCAGCCAUGCCGCGUGUGUGAAGAAGGUCUUCGGAUUGUAAAGCACUUUAAGUUGGGAGGAAGGGCAGUAAGUUAAUGCCUUGCUGUUUUGACGUUACCAACAGAAUAAGCACCGGCUAACUUCGUG
rnacentral:rRNA from 1 species